UGCCAGCAGCCACGGUAAUACGCAGGCGGGUAGCGUUGUUCGGAAUUACUGGGCGUAAAGCGCACGUAGGCGGAUUAGAAAGUUAGAGGUGAAAUCCCAGGGCUCAACCCUGGGACUGCCUUUAAAACUCCUAGUCUUGAGUUCGAGAGAGGUGAGUGGAAUUCCAAGUGUAGAGGUGAAAUUCGUAGAUAUUUGGAGGAACACCAGUGGCGAAGGCGGCUCACUGGCUCGAUACUGACGCUGAGGUGCGAAAGUGUGGGGAGCAUACAGGAUUAGGUA
rnacentral:rRNA from 1 species